rnacentral:rRNA from 1 species
GGAAUAUUGCGCAAUGGGCGAAAGCCUGACGCAGCGACGCCGCGUGGGGGAGGAAGGCCCCAGGGUUGUAAACCCCUGUCAGGUGGGACGAACCCCGGUACGUCGAACAGGCGUACCGCCUGCCGGUACCACCAGAGGAAGCUCCGGCUAACCCCGUGCCAGCAGCCGCGGUAAUACGGAGGGAGCAAGCGUUGUUCGGAAUUACUGGGCGUAAAGGGCGCGUAGGCGGCCUGGUGAGUCGCAUGUGAAAUGCCGGGGCUCAACCCCGAGCACUGCAUGCGAUACUGCCUGGCUGGAGAGAGGUAGGGGCGAGCGGAAUUCCCGGUGUAGCGGUGGAAUGCGUAGAUAUCGGGAAGAACACCUGUGGCGAAGGCGGCUCGCUGGACCUUUUCUGACGCUGAAGCGCGAAAGCGUGGGGAGCAAAC